CAACGUCAAUGUUCAGGGUCAAUUAUUAAUUCAAAAUACAUCUUGACUGCUGCUCACUGCGUUGUCAACAAAAAUAUUGCAGGAGUGAGAAUUGGAGACUUCGAUGUCAGUAGAGAUGAAGACUGCGAUUAUCAAUCUGGCGUAUCUCCUGCCUGUGAGGACCAUAUUCAGGAGAUGUAUGUAGAAUUGGCAAUACCCCAUAGCGAGUUUCGCCGCGGACCACCGGAAAACGACAUUGCUUUGCUGAGAGUGGAAGGCGAGAUCAACUUUAGUUAUCCUAACGUUGAACCAAUUUGUCUACCAAUAACACCUGAACUUCAAAAUAAGGUUUUGGACUAUAUGACUGGAACAGUGGCUGGAUGGGGCGUGACCGAAACGCGCAAAGAGGCUACACGAUUGAUGAAAGUCGAUAUUCCAGUAAAAUCCAACUCAGAUUGUAAGAUGUACUAUUUAAAUUCGCCAAAUCAACAUCAUUAUUUUAAAAGAGCUAUGAAGAAUCAGUUUUGUGCAGGAGAAUUAGGGAAGGACUCGUGCGAUGGAGACUCUGGUGGUCCAUUUAUGAUUAAAGACAUCUAUAAAGACGUGAACCGGUACGUCCA